rnacentral:tRNA from 1 species
GUGGGUAUGGCGGAACGGUAGACGCGGCAUGCUCAAACCAUGCUGGAAACGUGGGGGUUCGAAUCCCUCUACCCACACCA